UCUCCGUAGGUGAACCUGCGGAGGGAUCAUUACAAGUGACCCCGGUCUAACCACCGGGAUGUUCAUAACCCUUUGUUGUCCGACUCUGUUGCCUCCGGGGCGACCCUGCCUUCGGGCGGGGGCUCCGGGUGGACACUUCAAACUCUUGCGUAACUUUGCAGUCUGAGUAGACUUAAUUAAUAAAUUAAAACUUUCAACAACGGAUCUCUUGGUUCUG
rnacentral:misc_RNA from 1 species